CUCCACUAUAUACAGCUCGGGCUGCAAAACGAGUAAGCCAUGCAGGAACUUCUUGAUUUGCUUCUUGCAUCAACUCUGACAAAGAUCUAGCCAUAUUGGAAUUAUUCUCGUUAAAAAAUGCAGUAGCAAGACCAGACUUGCCGGCUCGUCCAGUUCGUCCUAUACGGUGUACAUAAUCAUCAAUAUCAUUUGGAAGAUCAAAAUUGACCACGUGUGCAACAUGCGGAAUGUCAAGGCCCCGUGCUGCAACAUCUGUAGCAACCAAGAUUGGAGUAUGACCACUUUUAAAUGAUCGCAAGGCUUGUUCUCUUUCCUGCAGAGACAACCUCCAAAACACGAUUAUUGACCAGUACAUAUUAAUUGCACUUUCUGGAACUUGUAUACAUAAACAUCUUCUCCACAUACGCACAAGCACAUACAUAUGAUAGACAUACACGCCUACUUACUGAUACCUAGAUGCCUACAGGGGCCGUCUAGCACUAGACAGCCUAUUAGUCACUAGGCAAGUGGUCAAACCCGAUGUAGUUGAUUAGUUAUACACCAUAUUCUAGCCUAUAUAUGCACAACAUAUACAGUUUCACUGUCAAAUAUUCAACGCUUGAUAAUUUACUGCAAAAUAUAGACAAAUCUCAAACAACUUAAUAUUCACGUUCGGAUUAAAGAAAAUGGAGCAAGGCUAUGACAAAAAGCCCAUUCUGGUUUUCCUUGUUAGUAUUACAUUAUGUGAGCAUCAUUAAGUUACUUCUAUAUUCAUAAUGAUAUAAGAGGACUACUAAGAACAAAGUUGAUGACCGCUGUACCUAAUAGAGCAUUUGAAAUAAUAGAAAUUCAUUCGUAGCUAAUACAGGCAGUGGCACUAUAAAAAAGUAUGCAAUCAAAACACCAAAAAUUUGAGCAAGAUUACCAUCUGUGAUCUAUCACCAUGGAUAGUAGUAGCAGGAAAGCCAUUACUACACAGCCAAUAUUCGAGUGAAUCAGCUCCUUUCUUUGUUUCCACAAACACCAACGUGAGAGCUUGCUGAAAGAAGAGGAUGAGUAAAUCUAAUAAUCAGUAUAAGAUAUUAGGUUUGCAAAAAAAAGUUCACCGUCUGAUAGAAGGAAGAGGAGAAAUGAAAUGUAUUGCAUCGUGGGAACAGGAAAACUAAUGAAGAUCAGGAAAUAUUAUACUAUGAGCUUCAGAUGUCCAAGCAUCUCUACCACAGAAUAAUGGCUAUAUAUAAUGCUACCAGACCUAUACAUACGGUAGUAAUAUGCAAGAGUGUGAAUGGAUGUGAAAUUUAUAAGUAACUACAAAGAGAUCAAAAUUAAUCAGAUCCUCAUUCAAUAUUUAAUAACAAGUGUGAGUUUAUAAUUUAAUAUAUGCAAUAUUUUAAAAUUAUAAUAAGAUGAUACUUGUUUCUAAUCCAGUUGGUCUACUCUGCCAGAGGAUAGUAUUACACUAGAAAAGAGCAUCCACCAAGAUAACAGCCACUGGCUAGUCAGCUUUUAAGCAAAUUAAUAUUUAUGAUUGAUUCUAGUGUGAAACCCUUUGUAGACACCUUGCUUUCUACCAUCUGAACAAUUAAAACACGACUAAAAUGCCUAAACAUGAGCACGGUUGGAUAGCCCAGCGGUUAAGGGUUUAUCUUCUGUUGGCCCAGGUUCUGGGUUCGACUCUAGCUCACCUUGAGAAUAUCUUAGAACAGAUACUCAAAUUGUAAGGCUAUAAGCCACAAUAGUCAAAAAAAAGAUGCUUCUAAACAUAAGUGUCAACAGAUAUCUUGUUGGCUUUUUACAAGAUACCUAAUAUCUUAAGUUAAUUUUGUUCUAAGUAGGAAUCAAACAAGAAGUCUAUAAUAAUAGCUUAAACCCAUCAGUCUCUGCAAAAUAUUGGCUGAUAGAUUCCAAGAAGCUCCAGAACAUAUAUCACAAAAGAAGUAGAGCAUGUGUAUACUGCUGAAAAUUUAAGUAAUCAGUGCCUCAGUCACAUUCCAUGAGCAAAAGCUCGAAAGACAAAAGGUCAAAAAAAAAUUACCUUUCCAUGAGUGCCAUUUGCCCUCUGUGCAUGGAGAAGGUCCAUGAGAUGGCUUCUUUUAUCACUCUCCUGAACAUAUUCAACUCGUUGCAUAAUUAAAUCGGUACUUGACCCAACUCUUCCAACAGCCAAAAAGAUGUAAUUAGCUAGAAAAUCAGAGGCCAGUCUCUGCAAAUCAAUAAAGUUGCAAACAUAUCAAAUGCUGAUAUCAUCCUUUUGGAGGCACAAACAUGCAAAUAGAUGAAUUAACCAGAUAGAACAGAAAUGGAGACGGGGUUCUCGACCAAUUUCAUGUCUCGGACUUAAAAAAAGGACAGCAAAAAACAAAAGACAAAGCCUACAAGUUUGUAAACCUUUUAAUAAUAAAAUCAUAAUAGAGGAUGAAAAGGGCUAGUUAUAGUCCAUGUUGUAUAACAUGUAAUCAAAGAAAACAAUGCCUUUAGAACAUUGUGUACCUGUAUCUCUUUUGGGAAGGUAGCACUGAACAACAUUGUCUGCCUCAUACCAGGCGGAGGCAUAUCCAUUUGUUGCACAAUUUUCCUAAUUUGAGGUUCAAAACCCAUGUCCAACAUCCUAUCUGCCUCAUCCAGAGCUAAAUAUCUAAUCAUCUGUAAUGAGACUCUAGCUCUCUCCAGCAGGUCUACCAACCGUCCAGGAGUUGCCACAAGAAUGUCAACACCCCUCUCCAGUUCACGGAGCUAGCCAAAUCAAACUUACUUUAGUCGCCAUAAAAGGAAAUAAUUAUAAUGACAAAUUCAUAAGAACCUUCCACAAUAGCCAUAUUGCACAGCACAUAUGACAUGAAACAAAUAACCUACUAUAGUACACUUGCAGGUCAUUCAUUUGUUAGCAUUUAUUGUGUGUGUGUGUGUGCGCGUGUGUGUGUGUGUGUGUAUCUUGUUAUUAAAUUAAAGGCUCUUACAAAUAUAAAUGUCCCCAACCCCAAUAAACUAUAUGAAACAGUAUGACCUAAUCUACCAAUUCAGUGACUCAAGCUAAAAGUCUAAGACUAAUACAUGUAUAAAAGGGAGAUAUUAAAUCAAUUCUUCCAAAUCAGCUAUUUAGAUCUUACAAGCAUGUAGAUAAUAGAUUGCAGGGACUACGAAUAGUUAUUGUCGAGUUGGAUAUCAUUGUCCCCUGGACGGACACAGCAGUUUAGUCCAGCAGUUUCGAAAUAAUGCAGUCGAAGUAAAAAUCAAGAAACAUUAAAUCCAAAGAACAAUCCAUCUUCACAAAGGAAAAGUUAAGAAACAAAAAAUUCUAUGUUGAUCUAAAUAUUGCCGAUUAAUUAUCAAUUUGGUCAUUAAAGUGGAGACGAGAUAUCACUUUCAUCACCAAUUUCAACGGGGUAUCAUCAAAAUCACUUUAAAUUAAUAUACAUGUCAUGUAGCCAACCAUUAAAAUUUAAACAUGAGAAAAAUAUAAACUGAAAUGAUUAAAAUCCUAUGAAAAAUCAUUAAAAUGUAUAUUAUGCAUAAAUUUUCAUCUGUAGGUGGUAUCAUGCCAAACAAAUGAGUUUUAUGAUGAUAAAACUCUUUCUACAUUUAUUUUGCAAGAUUAAAAAAUCAUUACAAAAAUACAAAACUAUUUAUUAUAAUAUGAAAUAUUAUCCGAGAAAUUAGAAUUUAAAAAUAUUUGGUUGACUAUGGUAGCAUGUAAAAU
rnacentral:lncRNA from 1 species